AACGAACGCUGGCGGCGUGGAUAAGACAUGCAAGUCGAACGAUUAUCAUCGGGUAGCAAUAUUCGGUGGUGAGAGUGGCGCAAGGGUGCGUAACACGUGGGUAAUUUGCCAUGAAGUCUGGAAUAACUUGCUGAAAGGCGAGCUAAUACCGGAUGUGAUUUUUGGAAGGCAUCUUCUGAAACUCAAAGUCGGGGACCGUAAGGCCUGACGCUUCUUGAUAAGCCCGCGGCCUAUCAGCUAGUUGGUGAGGUAACGGCUCACCAAGGCUAAGACGGGUAGCUGGUCUGAGAGGACGACCAGCCUCACUGGAACUGAGACACGGUCCAGACACCUACGGGUGGCAGCAGUCGAGAAUUUUUCUCAAUGGGGGAAACCCUGAAGGAGCGACGCCGCGUGGGGGAUGAAUGGCUUCGGCCCGUAAACCCCUGUCAUUUGCGAUCAAACCUUACGACCUAACACGUCGUGAGCUGAUAGUAGCGGAAGAGGAAGGGACGGCUAACUCUGUGC
rnacentral:rRNA from 1 species